UACGAGGGGUCCUAGCGUUGUUCGGAAUUAUUGGGCGUAAAGCGGGUGCAGGCGGCUAGGUCAGUCAGAAGUGAAAGCCCUGGGCUCAACCCAGGAAGUGCUUUUGAUACUGCUUAGCUUGAGUGUGGGAGAGGUCGCUGGAAUUCCUGGUGUAGUGGUGAAAUACGUAGAUAUCAGGAGGAACACCGGUGGGGAAGCCGGGUGACUGGCCCAACACUGACGCUCAGACCCGAAAGCGUGGGGAGCAAACAGG
rnacentral:misc_RNA from 1 species